ensembl:piRNA 21ur-4718 ncRNA
UACAGGAAGAAAUGGCACUAC